rnacentral:tRNA from 1 species
UCCUUGGUGGUCCAAUGGCUAAGACGUUGAGCUCCCAGUGCAGGGGGCCUGGGUUCGAUCCCUGGUCAAGGAA